AGAGUUUGAUCCUGGCUCAGGAUAAACGCUGGCGGCGUGCCUAACACAUGCAAGUCGAACGCUCUCUCAGCAAUGGGAGGGAGUGGCGGACGGGUGAGUAACACAUGGGAAUCGACCCACACGUGAGGAAUACCACCGGGAAACCGGUGACAAUACCGCAUACGCUCGGACAACCGAACAAAGCUCUUUUUCGGAAGGGCGCGCGUGGACGAGCCUGUGCCUGAUUAGUUCGUUGGUGGGGUAAGAGCCUACCAAGACUGCGAUCAGUCGCUGGUCUGAGAGGAUGAUCAGCCACACUGGGAUUGAGAACGGCCCAGACUCCUACGGGGGGCAGCAGUGAGGAAUAUUCGGCAAUGGGGGCAACCCUGACCGAGCAACGCCGCGUGCAGGAUGACGGCCUUCGGGUUGUAAACUGCUUUUCUGGGGGAUGAGAAACGGACAGUACCCCAGGAAGAAGCUCCGGCUAACUACGUGCCAGCAGCCGCGGUAAUACGUAGGGAGCAAGCGUUGUCCGGAGUUACUGGGCGUAAAGCGCACGCAGGCGGUCUGUCGCGUCCGUGCCGACAGCGACUCGCCUAACGAGUCGAGGAGUACGGAAACGGGCAGACUUGAGGGUCAGAGAGGGACCUGGAAUUCCGGGUGGAGCGGUGAAAUGCGUAGAGAUCCGGAGGAACACCGAAGGCGCAGGCAGGGUCCUGGCUGGUCACUGACGCUGAGGGGCGAAAGCUAGGGGAGCGAACGGGAUUAGAUACCCCGGUAGUCCUAGCCGUAAACGAUGACCACUAGGUGUGCGGCGUAUCGACCCGCUGCGUGCCGGAGCUAACGCACUAAGUGGUCCGCCUGGGGAGUACGGUCGCAAGAUUAAAACUCAAAGGAAUUGACGG
rnacentral:rRNA from 1 species